GAAUGAAGAACGUAGCGAAAUGCGAUACUUGGUGUGAAUUGCAGAAUCCCGUGAACCAUCGAGUCUUUGAACGCAAGUUGCGCCCGAAGCCAUUAGGCCGAGGGCACGCCUGCCUGGGCGUCACACGUCGUUGCCCCCCCAUCUACUCCUUCGGGAUUGCGGGGGGUGGAUGAUGGCCUCCCGUGCGCCUCGCCGCGCGGUUGGCAUAAAUGCCAAGUCCUCGGCGACGCACGCCACGACAAUCGGUGGUUGCGAAACCUCGGUUGCCCGUCGUGUGCGGUCGUCGCGCAUCGAGGGCUCGAAAAAAUUGCCGGGUUCCGGCUCGGCUUUCAACGCGACCCCAGGUCAGGCGGGGUUACCCGCUGAAUUUAAGCAUAUCAAUAAGCGGAGGA
rnacentral:misc_RNA from 1 species